rnacentral:rRNA from 1 species
UGGGGAAUUUUGGACAAUGGGGGAAACCCUGAUCCAGCCAUCCCGCGUGUGCGAUGAAGGCCUUCGGGUUGUAAAGCACUUUUGGCAGGAAAGAAACGUCAUGGGUUAAUACCCCGUGAAACUGACGGUACCUGCAGAAUAAGCACCGGCUAACUACGUGCCAGCAGCCGCGGUAAUACGUAGGGUGCAAGCGUUAAUCGGAAUUACUGGGCGUAAAGCGUGCGCAGGCGGUUCGGAAAGAAAGAUGUGAAAUCCCAGGGCUCAACUUUGGAACUGCAUUUUUAACUACCGGGCUAGAGUGUGUCAGAGGGAGGUGGAAUUCCGCGUGUAGCAGUGAAAUGCGUAGAUAUGCGGAGGAACACCGAUGGCGAAGGCAGCCUCCUGGGAUAACACUGACGCUCAGGCACGAAAGCGUGGGGAGCAAACAGG